GCUUCUCUGAUGUUAGCGGGGACGGGUGAGUAACACGUGGAUAACCUACCUAUAAGACUGGGAUAACUUCGGAAACCGGAGCUAAUACCGGAUAAUAUUUGACGCAUGGUUCAAAAGUGAAAGACGGUCUUGCUGUCACUUAUAGAUGGAUCCGCGCUGCAUUACUAGUUGGUAAGGUAACGGCUUACCAAGGCAACGAUGCAUAGCCGACCUGAGAGGGUGAUCGGCCACACUGGAACUGAGACACGGUCCAGACUCCUACGGGAGGCAGCAGUAGGGAAUCUUCCGCAAUGGGCGAAAGCCUGACGGAGCAACGCCGCGUGAGUGAUGAAGGUCUUCGGAUCGUAAAACUCUGUUAUUAGGGAAGAACAUAUGUGUAAGUAACUGUGCACAUCUUGACGGUACCUAAUCAGAAAGCCACGGCUAACUACGUGCCAGCAGCCGCGGUAAUACGUAGGUGGCAAGCGUUAUCCGGAAUUAUUGGGCGUAAAGCGCGCGUAGGCGGUUUUUUAAGUCUGAUGUGAAAGCCCACGGCUCAACCGUGGAGGGUCAUUGGAAACUGGAAAACUUGAGUGCAGAAGAGGAAAGUGGAAUUCCAUGUGUAGCGGUGAAAUGCGCCGAGAUAUGGAGGAACACCAGUGGCGAAGGCGACUUUCUGGUCUGUAACUGACGCUGAUGUGCGAAAGCGUGGGGAUCAAAC
rnacentral:rRNA from 1 species